rnacentral:rRNA from 1 species
UACGAAGGGGGCUAGCGUUGCUCGGAAUUACUGGGCGUAAAGCGCACGUAGGCGGCUUUCUAAGUCGGGGGUGAAAUCCUGGAGCUCAACUCCAGAACUGCCUUCGAUACUGGAGAGCUCGAGUCCGGGAGAGGUGAGUGGAACUGCGAGUGUAGAGGUGAAAUUCGUAGAUAUUGGGAAGAACACCGGUGGCGAAGGCGGCGCUCUGGACCGAGACUGACGCUGAGGCGCGAAAGCUAGGGGAGCAAACGGG